rnacentral:rRNA from 1 species
UGUAGUCAUAUGCUUGUCUCAAAGAUUAAGCCAUGCAUGUCUAAGUAUAAGCAAUUAUACGGCGAAACUGCGAAUGGCUCAUUAAAUCAGUUAUCGUUUAUUUGAUAGUACCUUGCUACAUGGAUAACCGUGGUAAUUCUAGAGCUAAUACAUGCUAAAAAUCCCGACUUCGGAAGGGAUGUAUUUAUUAGAUUAAAAACCAAUGCCCUUCGGGGCUCUCUGGUGAUUCAUAAUAACUUCUCGAAUCGCACGGCCUUGCGCCGGCGAUGGUUCAUUCAAAUUUCUGCCCUAUCAACUUUCGACGGCUGGGUCUUGGCCAGCCAUGGUGACAACGGGUAACGGAGGGUUAGGGCUCGACCCCGGAGAAGGAGCCUGAGAAACGGCUACUACAUCCAAGGAAGGCAGCAGGCGCGCAAAUUACCCAAUCCCGACUCGGGGAGGUAGUGACAAUAAAUACUGAUACAGGGCUCUUUUGGGUCCUGUAAUUGGAAUGAGUACAAUUUAAAUCCCUUAACGAGGAACAAUUGGAGGGCAAGUCUGGUAAUCG